rnacentral:lncRNA from 1 species
CUUUGCAGUACUGAAUCUUUCCUCCAUUACUUCAGUGCAGGAAAAAGCAAGCAAAAAAAAAAAAGCCAACUUAGCUGGAGUGACUUCUGUGUACAAUACCAGACACCAAUAUUUCUCAAGCCAUUUCCAACAGCCAGAGAUGUCUAGAAUGUAGAGGCAAUGUCACAAGGCACCUAACCCUGAGCUGCAUAGGGUACAUCAUAAAGUAUUGCCAACAUCUUUUUUUGCCUAUCAACAAGAAUUCUGCAACUGACCUAUAUAGGAAGAGGAUUUCACACUAGAAAUAUAGUGGGAGUAAUGACACGAAUAGUGUGAUGAGUAUUAUUUAUUCCUUUUCUCAAUCCUUAGUAAAGAAAAACCUAUGCUCCAAGAACCUUUUUAAGUAAAAGAAAAUGAAAAACAAAAAAGGAAGCUUUCAUCCAAUGAAAACAAUACAUUGAUGAAGGACUAAAAGUUGGCCCUACCCUAAGUAGGAGUAAAAGCCAUGUGUAUAUUUACUAGUGGACUAAUCUCUGAACAGCACCUGGGAUUGAGGAAUGAUUUCGUCCUAGACUUUUUAUUAGAAGUCUGGCCAAAGAAGUCACACUGUGCCUGUUUGGUGCCCUGAUAUUACAAAGAUCUUCAGUCUACAAAUGGACUUCUGUAGGGUAUACUUCAGUAACUUCCCCAGUUUUGAGGUGAGUCUAAUUGGUCUGUAGUUUCCCUGGUCCUUCUUUUUGCCUUUUUUAAAGAAGGGCACUUAACAUCGGUCCUUUUCCAGUUCUCUGAUACCUCACCAAACAACAGAGAACCAAGGUCUUUU